rnacentral:snRNA from 1 species
AGCUGUAAAGGCGAUCAGGCUGCAACAUCUGUCAACCCAUUGAUUGCCAGGAUUGAUCUGGCUGGCUAGGCAAGUGUCCCCUUCCUCCUUCAAUGUUCUACUGUGCAUCCCUCCCAAAGCUGUGUGCUCAGUCAAAGAGAACACCCUUCCCCAAUAGAGGAGGACCAGUCUUUAACCAAGGGUAUACAAGUAGCUGUACUCCUCUCCUAGAACUUCCAAACAAUCCCUCAAAAUAAAGAAGAAAGAGAAGAGGAGAGAGAGAGAGAGAG